GAUGAACGCUGGCGGCGUGCCUAAUACAUGCAAGUCGAGCGAACAGACGAGGAGCUUGCUCCUCUGACGUUAGCGGCGGACGGGUGAGUAACACGUGGAUAACCUACCUAUAAGACUGGGAUAACUUCGGGAAACCGGAGCUAAUACCGGAUAAUAUAUUGAACCGCAUGGUUCAAUAGUGAAAGACGGUUUUGCUGUCACUUAUAGAUGGAUCCGCGCCGCAUUAGCUAGUUGGUAAGGUAACGGCUUACCAAGGCAACGAUGCGUAGCCGACCUGAGAGGGUGAUCGGCCGCACUGGAACUGAGACACGGUCCAGACUCCUACGGGAGGCAGCAGUAGGGAAUCUUCCGCAAUGGGCGAAAGCCUGACGGAGCAACGCCGCGUGAGUGAUGAAGGUCUUCGGAUCGUAAAACUCUGUUAUUAGGGAAGAACAAAUGUGUAAGUAACUAUGCACGUCUUGACGGUACCUAAUCAGAAGGCCACGGCUAACUACGUG
rnacentral:rRNA from 1 species